rnacentral:rRNA from 1 species
GACAGAGGGUGCAAACGUUGUUCGGAAUUACUGGGCAUAAAGGGCACGUAGGUGGUGCGCUAAGUCACGUGUGAAAUCCCCCGGCUCAACCGGGGAAUUGCGCGUGAUACUGGCGGACUUGAGGCGGGUAGGGGUGAGCGGAACUCCAGGUGGAGCGGUGAAAUGCGUAGAGAUCCGGAGGAACACCGAAGGCGAAGGCAGUGUCCUGGCGAGUGACUGACGCUGAGGUGCGAAAGCCAGGGGAGCGAACGGG